rnacentral:rRNA from 1 species
CCUACGGGCGGCAGCAGUGAGGAAUAUUGGUCAAUGGCCGGAAGGCUGAACCAGCCAUGCCGCGUGAAGGUCAGUGCCCUAUGGGCGUUAAACUUCUUUUGUGCGGGAGCAAUAAUGGUCACGUGUGGCCAGACGAGAGUACCGUACGAAUAAGCAUCGGCUAACUCCGUGCAAGCAGCGGCGGUAAUACGGGGGAUGCAAGCGUUAUCCGGAUUUAUUGGGUUUAAAGGGUGCGUAGGCUGUGAGUUAAGUCAGCGGUGAAAUGCCCCCGCUCAACGGGGUGAAGUGCCAUUGAUACUGCCUUGCUGGAAUGCGGAUGCCGUGGGAGGAAUGUGUGGUGUAGCGGUGAAAUGCAUAGAUAUCACACAGAACACCGAUUGCGAAGGCAUCUCACGAAUCCGCGAUUGACGCUGAUGCACGAAAGCGUGGGUAUCAAACAGGAUUAGAUACCCUAGUAGUC